AGAGCGAACGCUGGCGGCAGGCCUAACACAUGCAAGUCGAGCGCCCGUAGCAAUACGGGAGCGGCAGACGGGAUAGUAACACGUGGGAACACGCCCUUCGGUUCGGAAUAACUCAGGGAAACUUGAGCUAAUACCGAAUACGCCCUUACGGGGAAAGAUUUAUUGCCGAAGGAACGGCCCGCGUCCGAUUAGCUAGUUGGUGAGGUAAUGGCUCACCAAGGCUACGAUCGGUAGCUGGUCUGAGAGGAUGACCAACAUCACUGGGACUGAGACACGGCCCAGACUCCUACGGGAGGCAGCAGUGGGGAAUAUUGGACAAUGGGCGAAAGCCUGAUCCAGCCAUGCCGCGUGGAUGAUGAAGGCCUUAGGGUUGUAAAGUCCUUUUAACGGGAAGAUAAUGACGGUACCCGUAGAAUAAGCCCGGCUAACUUCGUGCCAGCAGCCGC
rnacentral:rRNA from 1 species